UCCAGGUGCCGGCGACUCGGCCGGCGAUGGAGCGCCUUUCGCAGAGCCUCCAGCUGCAGCAUGCAGUCAUGCUUAAGACCCCCAAAAGAACAGAUGAACCGAGGCACGGUGGGCUGAACACACAUUUGCUCCAAGGAACUUCCCAGAAGAGAUGGGGAAUGGAAACGCGGCUCUCAGAUCUGUUUUCGAGGGGAAAUUCAUCUCUGGGCAAAACCUAAUCGCAUUCUGCUGUUCGCUUUGAGAACAGGUCUGAGCAUGAGGUGUUGGCCUUAAUCUUCGAAUUUCCUGCCUUUUUUCUGGUUUUGCAGUCGUCUUAUAAUUAAAUGUUGGUUUUCUGUAUUUAUACGCCGUGGCCGGGGGCCAAGACUUAAAUGCUUCGCUGCAUGGAAAAGGAGGGAAAUACAGACUACAUCUGCAUCCCAUGAAAUAUUCCAGGCUGCAGCCGGUGGAGGAAAAACGGGUUGCCCUUCAGGACCAGGGAACAGGUUCGUUUCUAAAGGUCACUUGAGAGCGACGGUCAGGAGAAGGCGGUUGCAUUUGUUUCUGGUCUAUAGCUGUCCUUAUUGUGGAGCUUCCUACAAUGCCCAUUCCCGUGGAGUAGGGUUGUCCAACUGCUGGCAAUUUGCAGCCCCCAUGCUCCCCGCUAGCUACCACCCCCUUUUAUUACUCCAGCUGCAGCAGCAUCCAGGCUCUCCGGGCCCUGUCCCUGCUCCAGUGUGGGAUGAGUCCAUGGUAUGGAGAUCCUGCAGCCGGGGAUGGGGGAUGAGGUGCCUGCAUGGUGCAGGGCAGUGGGGAGACCGUGGCCUCUGCAGAUGGGGUCCUGGAUGCUUACAAGUUCCCCUCUAUUCUGCACUGGGGAGGCCACAUCUGGAGUCCUGUGUCCAGCUGUGGGCCCCACUACAGAAAGGAUGUGCACACAUUGGAGAGAGUCCAGUUGUGGGCAAUGAAAAUGGUUGUGGGGCUGGGGGACAGGACUGGUGAGGGGAAGCUGAAGGAAUUGGCCUGAUUGAGUCUGCAGAAGAGAAGACCGAGGGGGGUUGAAUAGCAGCUUCACCUCCCUGCAGGGGGGCUGCAAAGAGGAUGGAGCUGGACUGGUCUCAGUGGGGGCAGACAACAAAGAGAAAUGGUCUGAAGUUGCAGCAAGGGAAGUUGAGGUUGGAUAUUAGGAAAAACUCUCUCAUGAGGAGGGUGGUGAAGCACUGGAACAGGCUGCCCAGAGAGGUGGUGCAAUCUCCAUCCUUGGAGGUGUUGAAGACCCAGGUAGACCAAGCCUUGUCUGGGAUGAUGCAGUUGGGGCUGGUCCUGCUUGGAGCAGGGGUUGGACUAGAUGUGACCUCCCGAGCUCCCUUCCAGCCCUCCGUGUCUAUGACUAUAAUCCUUGUUGCGCACUCCAGCUCCAUGUAAUCACCCCAGACGAGUAGAGAACCAGCUCCACCCUCUAAUUUCAACACUGCCGGUGCGUGCCAACUCAUCAUGAAUUAUUCUCAUAUUGAACCCAGCAUUAUCCCACACGUGGUCAAGUUUGCUCAGCAACAGACAUGAGGCCGGAGGAUAUUGUGUCCCUGUAGGUCUGUGCAGCACUUGGCAACCUCCCAGGGAAGAGGCAUUCGGUGGGGCUAACUCGCAGCAGGCGAGUCACGCUCUGAAUAGGGAGCGUCAGGGAUGAACAGCUGGGCUUGACCCGUCUGGGAUCAUCUGCCACAUCUGGCCAGCCUGGAGCAGAGCAGGGGACCACGUGGACUAGUGGACAGGACAUUGGAGGUCCCAGAUUCCAGCUUUAGGUAAUCUUUGUGUCUUUGUUUUCGUCUUGCCCCAGAAAGCCUGACCCUAACAUGCCUGAGCAGUGCCUAGAACAGGACCCCGAGGGGCCUUGCUCACCAGGGUGGGUUUCCAGGCAUUAUACAUCCAAAACCAUGAUGCCCACAAAGAAAUAACAUUCAGGCACUACUGAGUUACACUCGCCUGGAUUUGAACCAGGAGCGAGAGACUCCACAGCCCGUUCCCAGCGCCAGAACGAUACGCCCCAUUGCUUUGCAUUCGUGUCUGAUCAAAAGCACACAUCCCCGUGAUUGCACUUGUCAGGUAAAAGCUGGGAGGACUCCAGCACAGCUCUUCCUGGGCCAGAAAAACACAGAUUCGAGUCAGCCAAAACAAUCUGCGAAUUUGCCAGUACGUGGGAUUGUUUUGUCCAAAACAACUCAGAGGAAAAACAAAAAAGAGAGAGAGAGAUGGGGAGGAACAUUGAACUGAAUCAUUGCAAAUAAACAGCA